rnacentral:rRNA from 1 species
ACGAACGCUGGCGGCAUGCCUAACACAUGCAAGUCGAACGAAGGCUUCGGCCUUAGUGGCGCACGGGUGCGUAACGCGUGGGAAUCUGCCCUUGGGUUCGGAAUAACAGUUGGAAACGACUGCUAAUACCGGAUGAUGACGUAAGUCCAAAGAUUUAUCGCCCAGGGAUGAGCCCGCGUAGGAUUAGCUAGUUGGUGGGGUAAAGGCCUACCAAGGCGACGAUCCUUAGCUGGUCUGAGAGGAUGAUCAGCCACACUGGGACUGAGACACGGCCCAGACUCCUACGGGAGGCAGCAGUGGGGAAUAUUGGACAAUGGGCGAAAGCCUGAUCCAGCAAUGCCGCGUGAGUGAUGAAGGCCUUAGGGUUGUAAAGCUCUUUUACCCGGGAUGAUAAUGACAGUACCGGGAGAAUAAGCUCCGGCUAACUCCGU